rnacentral:rRNA from 1 species
GACGGUAACUAACCAGAAAGUCACGGCUAACUACGUGCCAGCAGCCGCGGUAAUACGUAGGUGACAAGCGUUGUCCGGAAUUAUUGGGCGUAAAGCGCGUGUAGGUGGUUCUGUAAGUAGGGCGUGAAAGCUCCCGGCUCAACUGGGAGAGGCCGUACUAAACUGCAGAGCUAGAGGAUGGUAGAGGGAGGUGGAAUUCCAGGUGUAGUGGUGAAAUGCGCAGAUAUCUGGAGGAACACCAGUGGCGAAGGCGGCCUCCUGGACCAUUCCUGACACUCAGACGCGAAAGCUAGGGUAGCAAACGGAAUUAGAGACUCCGGUAGUCCUAGCCCUAAACGAUGCAGACUAGGCGUCGGCGGUUUAAUCACCGUCGGUGUCCAAGCUAACGCGAUAAGUCUGCCGCCUGAGGACUACGGCCGCAAGGCUAAAACUCAAAGGAAUUGACGGGUCCCCGCACAAGCAGCGGAGCGUGUGGUUUAAUUCGAUGCUCCGCGAAGAACCUUACCUGGGUUUGACAUAACAGUGGUAGAGAAGUGAAAACGGAUCGACCCUUCGGGGAGCUGUUACAGGUGUUGCAUGCCUGUCGUCAGCUCGUGUCGUGAGAUGUUCGGUUAAGUCCGCUAACGAGCGCAACCCGCGCUGUGUGUUACAAGUGUCACACAGUACCGCCGGUAUUAAGUCGGAGGAAGGUGCGGAUGACGUCAAGUCAGCAUGACCUUUAUAUCCAGGGCUACACACACGCUACAAUGGUCAGAACAAUAGGUUGCCAAGCCGCAAGGCGGAGCCAAUCCCAAAAAGUCGGUCUCAGUGCAGAUUGCAGGCUGCAACUCGCCUGCAUGAAGAUGGAGUUGCUAGUAACCGCAGGUCAGCGAUACUGCGGUGAAUACGUUCCCGGGCCUUGUACACACCGCC